CCGGAAAACCAAGGCUGAGGCGUGAUGACGAGGCACUACGGUGCUGAAGCGACAAAUGCCCUGCUUCCAGGAAAAGCCUCUAAGCAUCAGGUAACAUCAAAUCGUACCCCAAACCGACACAGGUGGUCAGGUAGAGAAUACCAAGGCGCUUGAGAGAACUCGGGUGAAGGAACUAGGCAAAAUGGUGCCGUAACUUCGGGAGAAGGCACGCUGAUAUGUAGGUGAAGCGACUUGCUCGUGGAGCUGAAAUCAGUCGAAGAUACCAGCUGGCUGCAACUGUUUAUUAAAAACACAGCACUGUGCAAACACGAAAGUGGACGUAUACGGUGUGACGCCUGCCCGGUGCCGGAAGGUUAAUUGAUGGGGUUAGCGGUAACGCGAAGCUCUUGAUCGAAGCCCCGGUAAACGGCGGCCGUAACUAUAACGGUCCUAAGGUAGCGAAAUUCCUUGUCGGGUAAGUUCCGACCUGCACGAAUGGCGUAAUGAUGGCCAGGCUGUCUCCACCCGAGACUCAGUGAAAUUGAACUCGCUGUGAAGAUGCAGUGUACCCGCGGCAAGACGGAAAGACCCCGUGAACCUUUACUAUAGCUUGACACUGAACAUUGAGCCUUGAUGUGUAGGAUAGGUGGGAGGCUUUGAAGUGUGGACGCCAGUCUGCAUGGAGCCGACCUUGAAAUACCACCCUUUAAUGUUUGAUGUUCUAACGUUGGCCCGUAAUCCGGGUUGCGGACAGUGUCUGGUGGGUAGUUUGACUGGGGCGGUCUCCUCCUAAAGAGUAACGGAGGAGCACGAAGGUUGGCUAAUCCUGGUCGGACAUCAGGAGGUUAGUGCAAUGGCAUAAGCCAGCUUGACUGCGAGCGUGACGGCGCGAGCAGGUGCGAAAGCAGGUCAUAGUGAUCCGGUGGUUCUGAAUGGAAGGGCCAUCGCUCAACGGAUAAAAGGUACUCCGGGGAUAACAGGCUGAUACCGCCCAAGAGUUCAUAUCGACGGCGGUGUUUGGCACCUCGAUGUCGGCUCAUCACAUCCUGGGGCUGAAGUAGGUCCCAAGGGUAUGGCUGUUCGCCAUUUAAAGUGGUACGCGAGCUGGGUUUAGAACGUCGUGAGACAGUUCGGUCCCUAUCUGCCGUGGGCGCUGGAGAACUGAGGGGGGCUGCUCCUAGUACGAGAGGACCGGAGUGGACGCAUCACUGGUGUUCGGGUUGUCAUGCCAAUGGCACUGCCCGGUAGCUAAAUGCGGAAGAGAUAAGUGCUGAAAGCAUCUAAGCACGAAACUUGCCCCGAGAUGAGUUCUCCCUGAGACUUAGAGUCUCCUGAAGGAACGUUGAAGACGACGACGUUGAUAGGCCGGGUGUGUAAGCGCAGCGAUGCGUUGAGCUAACCGGUACUAAUGAACCGUGAGGCUUAACCUU
rnacentral:rRNA from 1 species